ACCGUGCCCGGUCACAUGUUAAAUUUUAAAAUGAAAAACAAAAGGACAAGAACUCAUCUCCCCACAGGGUGUCUUAUAAGUUUGAAGUUUGCAGAGAGCCCAGGAAAGCUUACCAAGGGGACCAGCAUGCUCACGCCUCUGAGGUUAAGGAGGCCCCUCAGGAAGAGGUGACAUGCGACUGGCCAGUGAAAGGCAUCCACCAUCCAUGAUGGGCCCUUGACCUCGCCCACUCCACACCGACCCUAGGACUUGGAAGACACAAGGAACUCAUGUGAACACCAUGCUUAAACUGCAGCUAUUAUUUUACUGCAACUAAUAAAGUCCCUGUCUCUGACCCAGGAGUCUCAGAACUGGAGAUUGGCAGUGCCUCUAUUUGAAUGGAGGUCAUCUGACUCCCUUUGUAUCUUGGGUUCUGUUUUUCAAUAAAAAUUAUAGCAUUGUAA
rnacentral:lncRNA from 1 species